rnacentral:sRNA from 1 species
GCGAACAAAUACAACGAAAGCCCUGCCUCUCUUCCAUCCUUGCGGCUCCGAUGACCGCGCCAGUACGAAUUUGGACAUUGCAAAGCAA